rnacentral:lncRNA from 1 species
GGGCUUCUUCAUCAUCAUCAUCGCCCCUCCAAUGACUCGUGAGUAGUUCACUUCAGACCUACAGGUCCGUAGUUAGUAGCUAGAUGGCUUCUUCUCUCUCUUGGAUCUUCAAUACAAAGUUCUCCAUGAUCUUCAUGGAGAUCUAUCUGAUGUAAUCUUCUUUGGCGGUGUGUUUGUCGAGAUCCGAUGAAUUGUGGACUUGCG